rnacentral:rRNA from 1 species
UACGGAGGGUGCGAGCGUUACUCGGAAUCACUGGGCGUAAAGCGUGCGCAGGCGGCCCGUUAAGACAGGUGUGAAAUCCCUGGGCUCAACCUAGGAAUUGCGCUUGUGACUGGCGGGCUCGAGUACGGUAGAGGGGGGUGGAAUUCCUGGUGUAGCAGUGAAAUGCGUAGAGAUCAGGAGGAACACCGAUGGCGAAGGCAGCCCCCUGGGCCUGUACUGACGCUCAUGCACGAAAGCGUGGGGAGCAAACAGG